rnacentral:rRNA from 1 species
GAUGAACGCUGGCGGCGUGCCUAAUACAUGCCGGUCGAGCGAACGGACGAGAAGCUUGCUUCUCUGAUGUUAGCGGCGGACGGGUGAGUAACACGUGGAUAACCUACCUAUAAGACUGGGAUAACUUCGGGAAACCGGAGCUAAUACCGGAUAAUAUUUUGAACCGCAUGGUUCAAAAGUAAAAGACGGUCUUGCUGUCACUUAUAGAUGGAUCCGCGCUGCAUUAGCUAGUUGGUAAGGUAACGGCUUACCAAGGCAACGAUGCAUAGCCGACCUGAGAGGGUGAUCGGCCACACUGGAACUGAGACACGGUCCAGACUCCUACGGGAGGCAGCAGUAGGGAAUCUUCCGCAAUGGGCGAAAGCCUGACGGAGCAACGCCGCGUGAGUGAUGAAGGUCUUCGGAUCGUAAAACUCUGUUAUUAGGGAAGAACAUAUGUGUAAGUAACUGUGCACAUCUUGACGGUACCUAAUCAGAAAGCCACGGCUAACUACGUG